rnacentral:lncRNA from 1 species
UUUUUUUUUUUUUUUUUUUUUUUUUUAAGUAUAAAGAUAGCCCUGCAGUAUGUAAAAGGAAACCCACAGGGAAGGCUGCUUCCCAUAAAAUAGACAUUAGAAUCAUUGAGGAACGUCAGCAGUCAAGACAGGAGGAACAAGAGGUAAUUGUAGUGAAAAACCAAAACAACUUUUAUCUUGGCAAGACUGGUUUACAAGUGUAUGUCAAGAACAAAAAUUCCAAACAUCAGCCAACUGAAAACAAAAGAUAAAAGAUGACAUUCAUGGGUCUUUUUCCUUUUUCUCUGUGCAAAAAUGCUCUUUCACUUUUUCUAAAUGAGAGAAGAUUGUUUCUACACUGCGACUUCACAUGGAGAUGCUGUGUGCCCAGGGUGUUGCUGGGCACCAGUGGCACCUCUCAUUGACUACCAUUGUGAGCACAGAAUCUGGGCAUUAAGAGGAUGAAACAUGACUUCUCCUGGCUGGAGAACCAUUUCUUGCCACUUUGCUGCUGAAUUCAUUCAUUAAACUGCUCAAAGAAAAGCUGCACUCUGACUUCUGAGAAUCUAUAGCAAUUCUAUGUUAGACUAUCUACUAAGAGGACAGGGCACAUGAACCCUUUCUUCAGAGACUACAACCAAAAGAAGAGAGUGGGUGUGAUAAACUGGGGCUAGAAGGAAGGAAAAUACUGUAGGUUGAACCUCGAGGUUCUCAGGAAUAUUCUCUACCAUCCCAAAUCAAUAGCAGAGCCAGGAAAGAGGCCAUGAAGAAGGCAUGAAGCUCUAAUCCAUGGAAGAGAACAAUAUAAAACAAUUAACAAAGGGAUCCCUGUCCAAACACGCUCUUCCCCUUGAAGCCCAACCAAUUGGUGCAGGGCUUGCCUGGUAUAAUGUGGACACUAGAGUCCUCGGUCAACUGGGCCUGCUACCUUUGAGUCCUCAUGCUGCAAAAAGAACUGAAACUCUGGCAGACUUCUGGCACCUUGCUAAUGGCUGUGUCCUAUUUCACUCACACUGGUCCCUUUAAAGUCUUCCUUCUCCUCAAGCCGGACCCCCAAGGGACCCUGAAUGCAGUGAGGAUCUGGACUCAUGAUCCAUAUGUCAGUCUGUAGUUAGAGCAGGAGGACUCAAAUCUAGAUGAAUUCUACUCUGUAAAACAGUAACCAUCAGUGAGUUGGGGGCAUCAGAGGCUUCUGUGAAGGGGGAAGACUGAACUGGGAUGUGUAAGAAGGCAGGAUGAGAAGGCCCAUGCCUAGCAGCCUGCAGGAGUGACUCUGGCACUAAGCUCACAGCCAGCCCUGACUAAUGCUGGCAUGGAGGUACAAAGGGGGGCAUCUGCUCAGUGUUUAAAACAGAGUCCACACAUAGUCUGAGGUUAGGCCUCUGUGACACUCCUAAAGCUCAAUGUACCUGCUGCUUCUGGAAGAAACGGUGUGAUCCCUAUCUGCUAAAGUACAAGAUCUGCUUUCUUAAUUUAUUUGAUGCUAAUAAAGCAACACCUUAGAGAAGAACAACCUUGGAAAAUCAUGGGAAAAAGCCACAUGGGCUUUCCCAGUGCUAGCUGCCUGUUUUGGGGUA